rnacentral:rRNA from 1 species
UCGGGAAUUUUGGGCAAUGGGCGAAAGCCUGACCCAGCAACGCUGCGUGAAGGAUGAAGUAUUUCGGUAUGUAAACUUCGAAAGAAUAGGAAGAAUAAAUGACGGUACUAUUUAUAAGGUCCGGCUAACUACGUGCCAGCAGCCGCGGUAAUACGUAGGGACCAAGCGUUGUUCGGAUUUACUGGGCGUAAAGGGCGCGUAGGCGGCAAUUCAAGUCAUCUGUGAAAUCUCCGGGCUUAACUCGGAACGGUCAGAUGAUACUGCUUUGCUAGAGUGCAGAAGGGGCAAUCGGAAUUCUUGGUGUAGCGGUGAAAUGCGUAGAUAUCAAGAGGAACACCUGAGGUGAAGACGGGUUGCUGGGCUGACACUGACGCUGAGGCGCGAAAGCCAGGGGAGCAAACGGGAUUAGAUACCCCUGUAGUCCCUGAGCGGGCUGGCAAGGCGC